CCUACGGUGAGCAGCCGUGAGGAAUAUUGGUCCAUGGGCGCGAGCCUGAACCAGCCAAGUAGCGUGAAGGAUGCCUGUCCUACGGGUUGUAAACUUCUUUUAUAAAGGAAUAAAGUGAGGCACGUGUGCUUUUUUGUAUGUACUUUAGGAAUAAGGAUCGGCUAACUACGUGCCAGCAGCCGCGGUAAUACGGAGGAUCCGAGCGUUAUCCGGAUUUAUUGGGUUUAAAGGGAGCGUAUAUGGGUUGUUAAGUCAGUUGUGAAAGUUUGCGGCUCAACCGUAAAAUUGCAAUUGAUACUGGCAGCCUUGAGUACAGUUGAGGUAGGCGGAAUUCGUGGUGUAGCGGUGAAAUGCUUAGAUAUCACGAAGAACUCCGAUUGCGAAGGCAGCCUACUAAACUGCCACUGACAUUGAUGCUCGAAAGUGUGGGUAUCAAACAGGAGUAGAUACCCUGGUAGUC
rnacentral:rRNA from 1 species